UAGGCAGUGGGCAGGUAGGUAGGCAGUGGGCAGGUGGGCAGCGGGCAGGUAGGUAGGCAGCGGGCAGGUAGGUAGGCAGCGGGCAGGUAGGUAGGCAGCGGGCAGGCAGGCAGGCAGCGGCCAGGUAGGCAGGCAGCGGCCAGGUAGGUAGGCAGCGACCAGGUAGGUAGGCAGCAGCCAGGUAGGUAGGCAGGUAGGCAGGCAGCGGGCAGGCAGGCAGGCAGCGGGCAGGUAGGUAGGCAGGCAGGCAGCGGGCAGGUAGGUAGGCAGUUGACAGGUAGUUAGGCAGCGGGCAGGUAGGCAGUGGGCAGGCAGGUAGGCAGCGGCCAGGUAGGUAGGCAGCGGCAAGGUAGGUAGGCAGGGGCCAGGUAGGUAGGCAGCGGCCAGGUAGGCAAACAGUGAGAUAGAAAAUGUUGUCUUCAGUUCGUGCCAGC
ensembl:lncRNA